rnacentral:rRNA from 1 species
UACAGAGGGUGCAAGCGUUGUUCGGAAUUAUUGGGCGUAAAGCGCGUGUAGGCGGCUUUGCAAGUCGGGUGUGAAAUCCCCCAGCUUAACUGGGGAAGUGCGCUCGAAACUGCAGAGCUCGAGUACCGGAGAGGAUGGCGGAAUUCCCCAAGUAGAGGUGAAAUUCGUAGAUAUCAGGAGGAACACCUGUGGCGAAGGCGGCCCUCUGGACGGAUACUGACGCUGAGACGCGAAAGCGUGGGGAGCAAACAGG